rnacentral:rRNA from 1 species
CUAAGUUUGAUGGCGACCGGCGCACGGGUGAGUAACACGUAUCCAACCUGCCGAUGACUCGGGGGAUAGCCUUUCGAAAGAAAGAUUAAUACCCGAUGGCAUAGUUCUUCCGCAUGGUGGAACUAUUAAAGAAUUUCGGUUAUCGAUGGGGAUGCGUUCCAUUAGUUUGUUGGCGGGGUAACGGCCCACCAAGACUACGAUGGAUAGGGGUUCUGAGAGGAAGGUCCCCCACAUUGGAACUGAGACACGGUCCAAACUCCUACGGGAGGCAGCAUG